rnacentral:rRNA from 1 species
GGUUUAAUUCGACGCAACGCGAAGAACCUUACCAGCUCUUGACAUGUCAGGUCGGUUUCCAGAGAUGGAUUCCUCCCAGCAAUGGGCCUGAACACAGGUGCUGCAUGGCUGUCGUCAGCUCGUGUCGUGAGAUGUUGGGUUAAGUCCCGCAACGAGCGCAACCCUCGCCAUUAGUUGCCAUCAUUAAGUUGGGCACUCGUAGUGGGACUGCCGGUGAUAAGCCGGAGGAAGGUGGGGAUGGACGUCAAGUCAUCAUGGCCCUUACGGGCUGGGCUACACACGUGCUACAAUGGCGGUGACAGUGGGCAGCAACUCAGCAAUGGGGAGCUAAUACUCAAAAAGCCGUCUCAGUUCGGAUUGGGGUCUGCAACUCGACCCCAUGAAGUCGGAAUCGCUAGUAAUCGCGGAUCAGCACGCCGCGGUGAAUACGUUCCCGGGCCUU